rnacentral:lncRNA from 1 species
ACGUGGAAAAGCAUACAGGUCAGUCUCUGUUUCUGGAAGAAAGCAGCCGAAAAGGUCAGAGAAGUAGCACAGUAUUUGAAAAGGCCCCUGAACACUUUACACGUGAAUUUUUGUUGUUAAAUCAAAUUCUACAAUCACUGAAGGGUAAAUAUGAGUUUUUGUUGGACAAUUUUCUACUCAAUUCUUUUGAUUUUUCAGAAUCAGUCAAACUCUUCUUGUAACUUUCAGAAACAAAUACCCACAAAGAUAAAUCACAAAGCACAAUGAGUCAACAACAGGAAACAUCAGUGAAAGAACUAGAAAAUAUGUUUAAUGCAGAGACAAAUAUCCAUGAAGAUCGAUCACAAAGCAUAGUGGCUCACCGACAGGAAACAUCAAUGAAGGAACUAGAAAACAUAUUAAAUGACCUAAAAGAACAAAAUGGAGAUAACUGAAGCAAGAGGGGAUACAGCUACAAAGCAGUGGUGGCUUAUAGGUCCUUUACAGGAGAAUGUGGAGAUCAUUUGAGGCUCAAGUUGGAUACUUUCCCUCAAUCUCACUGAACUAUCUUUUGGCCAGGUGCCUGACUUGCUUCUGGUGCCACAUGGA